rnacentral:rRNA from 1 species
UACAGAGGUCUCAACCGUUGUUCGGAUUCAUUGGGCGUAAAGGGUGCGUAGGCGGUCCGGUAAGUCCGCUGUGAAAGUCGGGGGCUCAACCCUCGAAUGCCGGUGGAUACUGUCGGGCUAGAGUGCGGAAGAGGCGAGUGGAAUUCCUGGUGUAGCGGUGAAAUGCGCAGAUAUCAGGAGGAACACCAAUUGCGAAGGCAGCUCGCUGGGACGUAACUGACGCUGAGGAGCGAAAGCGUGGGGAGCGAACAGG